rnacentral:rRNA from 1 species
UUGAACGCUGGCGGCAUGCUUUACACAUGCAAGUCGAACGGUAACAGGUUAAGCUGACGAGUGGCGAACGGGUGAGUAAUGCAUCGGAACGUGCCCGAUCGUGGGGGAUAACGCAGCGAAAGCUGCGCUAAUACCGCAUACGAUCUACGGAUGAAAGCGGGGGAUCGCAAGACCUCGCGCGGACGGAGCGGCCGAUGGCAGAUUAGGUAGUUGGUGGGAUAAAAGCUUACCAAGCCGACGAUCUGUAGCUGGUCUGAGAGGACGACCAGCCACACUGGGACUGAGACACGGCCCAGACUCCUACGGGAGGCAGCAGUGGGGAAUUUUGGACAAUGGGCGAAAGCCUGAUCCAGCCAUGCCGCGUGCAGGAUGAAGGCCUUCGGGUUGUAAACUGCUUUUGUACGGAAAGAAAUCGGGCGCGUGAAUAGCGUGCCUGGAUGACGGUACUGUCAGAAGAAGCACCGGCUAACUACGU